rnacentral:rRNA from 1 species
CUCGAGUGGCGAACGGGUGAGUAACACGUGGGUGAUCUGCCCUGCACUUCGGGAUAAGCCUGGGAAACUGGGUCUAAUACCGGAUAGGACCAUCGUUUAGUGUCGGUGGUGGAAAGUUUUUUCGGUGUGGGAUGAGCUCGCGGCCUAUCAGCUUGUUGGUGGGGUAAUGGCCUACCAAGGCGUCGACGGGUAGCCGGCCUGAGAGGGUGUACGGCCACAUUGGGACUGAGAUACGGCCCAGACUCCUACGGGAGGCAGCAGUGGGGAAUAUUGCACAAUGGGCGCAAGCCUGAUGCAGCGACGCCGCGUGGGGGAUGACGGCCUUCGGGUUGUAAACUCCUUUCGCCAGGGACGAAGCGUUAUGUGACGGUACCUGGAUAAGAAGCACCGGCUAACUACGUGCCAGCAGCCGCGGUAAU